CUAUGAAUCACUUGGAAAUCUUGUUAAAAUGCAAAUUCUGGUUGAGUAGCUUUGGGGUGAAGCCUUAGAUUCUGCAUUUCUAACAAGUUUCCAGAUGAUGCCAAA
rnacentral:pre_miRNA from 1 species